ensembl:misc_RNA Metazoa_SRP Metazoan signal recognition particle RNA
GCCAGGUGUGGUGGCGCAUGCCUGUAGUCCCAGCCACUUGGAAGGCUGAGGUGGGAGGAUCACUUGAGCCCAGGAGUUUGAGGCUGCAGUGAGCUGUGAUCAUGCCACUGCACUCCAGCCUGGGCAACAAAGUAAGAGCCUGUCUCAA